GGGGAUGAUCGGUUUCGACAUUGCCUGCGAAACUGCGAGAAGCGGGUCGAGGAUGCAGGGUUAUCUCGUUAACGAUCUCUGCAAAACAACAAGUGCCAACUCUAAGCGCACUGACUUCGCCCUCGCUGCUUAAGCGAGCCCGAUAGUCCGUCAGACCGAGCGUGUCCCCGUCUCGGAUCCUGGCGUCAUCUAGGGGACUUGCUGGAUGACGGAGCCGCGACGUCAUCCGGGACUUUUCCUCGGCUGGGCCCGUCGACCAAGAUGCCCUUGUCAAUGGUCGGGGCCGAGUAGAACGCAUUAAGGGAUACGCCCGUAGAAGGCGCAGAAUCACAGCAGUGGACGGGGGUUCAAUUCCCCCCAUCUCCACAC
rfam:Plantibacter sp. Leaf314 contig_1, whole genome shotgun sequence.